GGGAGAUGCAAGGAGAGAAUGCCCAAACAUGGAAUUCCUUGUUUUCUGAAUGGCCGAUGUGAGAGGGAAUACGAAGAAGCACAGGAAGAAAAACAUGUCUCUUUGCUUUGUUCCGUCGUAUAUUAUGAGAUAGAACCAGGCAAAAAAAUCUCAUGGACAACGACGGGUUUGACUGGAGUGAAGUGACAGAAUCGGCGAUAAAUAAGAGAAAAUUCCUGCUGUCAAAGAUGUUCAGGGAGCAGCCGAUUCCUCAGCAAGCAGAUGCCACAACUUGGAAUAAACCAUUUUACAAUCGUAGUUGAACUUUUUGACCGAGGAAAAAGCCGUUUCGGAGGAUAACUUUAUGUAAUCUAGAGUGAAUUAACAUACUGCAGGAUUUGACAGCAUAUACAAUAAACAUGUAAACAAAAGAGAACAAAAAAAACCUUUAGAACAGUCCUUUAGAAAGCCAGGCGAUAAAUACCAUAAUCAAAGUACAUUAACUUUAUUAUAGCCUAGAGCCCUAAAUAUGGAUACCCUAUAUCAGGUACUCUAGUUUAUGUAUAAGUUUUCUUUUUGUAUUAACCUUAUAAAUUUGUAUGAUGAGCGUUGUUGUAAUAAAAUAGUUUAACCAAACUGUUUACUUUCUUUGUAGAAUUACAAAAGUAGUAAAAUAUUUUCAUCGUUUGUCAGUUUAUGCACUAA